rnacentral:rRNA from 1 species
UACGUAGGUGGCAAGCGUUGUCCGGAUUUACUGGGCGUAAAGAGCGCGCAGGCGGUCGGAUCAGUCGAAUGUGAAAGCCCCCGGCUCAACUGGGGAGGGUCAUUCGAUACUGUCCGACUCGAAGGCAGGAGAGGGAAGCGGAAUUCCCGGUGUAGUGGUGAAAUGCGUAGAUAUCGGGAGGAACACCAGUGGCGAAGGCGGCUUUCUGGCCUGUUCUUGACGCUGAGGCGCGAAGGCGUGGGGAGCGAACGGG